rnacentral:rRNA from 1 species
GAUGAACGCUGGCGGCGUGCCUAAUACAUGCAAGUCGAGCGAACGGACGAGAAGCUUGCUUCUCUGAUGUUAGCGGCGGACGGGUGAGUAACACGUGGAUAACCUACCUAUAAGACUGGGAUAACUUCGGGAAACCGGAGCUAAUACCGGAUGAUAUUUUGAACCGCAUGGUUCAAAAGUGAAAGACGGUCUUGCUGUCACUUAUAGAUGGAUCCGCGCUGCAUUAGCUAGUUGGUAAGGUAACGGCUUACCAAGGCAACGAUGCAUAGCCGACCUGAGAGGGUGAUCGGCCACACUGGAACUGAGACACGGUCCUGACUCCUACGGGAGGCAGCAGUAGGGAAUCUUCCGCAAUGGGCGAAAGCCUGACGGGGCAACGCCGCGUGAGUGAUGAAGGUCUUCGGAUCGUAAAACUCUGUUAUUAGGGAAGAACAUAUGUGUAAGUAACUGUGCACAUCUUGACGGUACCUAAGCAGAAAGCCACGGCUAACUACGUG